GCAGGGUCCCUCCUCCUCAAAGCCCUGAACAGAUGAUCAAAUGCCCAGGCCUGAGGCUGGGCGAUCAAGGGUGCACCUUCUGCAGAGGGAGCCGCUUGCUCUUUUUGCAUUUUUCAUCCCUAGAAGAGAAGCUGCAGACACUCGCAAAAGAAAAGGGCUGAGUCGAGGGAGAAAGCACUGGACUCCCUCCCACCCCAAAGGAAACAACAACCAAAGGGAAAAAAAAAAGAAGAAAAAACCAAAACCAAAAGAAAAGCUGAGGGAAGAAAACCGACUGAACUUACCACACUGCGAGUGAACUUUUCUAGGGAAGUUCUACGACCUUGCUCACUUUCUGGCUUUAGGAAAAAAAAAAAAGGGUAGGGAGAAAAAUACAGAAAAAAAAAAUCUUCAGCUUAUACGUGGUUCCCAAACAGCAGCAGCUGCAGCUAAAGAAUAACAAAAACCAAAGCAAAAUGGGGCGAAAAAUGGGAAAAGAGAAGCAGCCAGAGCUGUUGGAAGAGUCAACGGGAGAGACAGAAGACAGAAGCCCACGAGAAAUGGUGCCGCCUCCUUGGAGCAGGGAGCAGAGAGGGGGCUUUGCUUCUCCGGGGGCCAUGAACUGUGCUUGCGGGGCUUGGAUCAGAACCAUCAUGACUUUGCACAGGACCACGGCCGGUGGGUUUGAGCAGCUUACUUGCUGCUUUCAAUCUGCCGUGCCCACAGGCAGGAGUCCUGGUGGUUGUGGCCCUGGGGCCCUGGGGGCCCCCAAGUCCUGACACAGAACAGACUGGCUCUGAGAGCCAGCAGGGUGUGCGAGGGACGUCAGGAAGGGGCUGCCGGGGAAGCGAAGUUAUCUACUCACCCAUGAGUCUGCCUUAGGACUGUUUUCUCUCUCGAGAUUCCCCUGCCCAGAGGCAGCCAGAAAGUUUGCUAACUUCAGUGACUUCCUAGUGACCCUCGUUCUGUGUCCAUUAAGUUCAUUGUCUUAUACGGGUGCAGUUGGGCACCCCCAGAGCAAUUACAAUAGUAACAUCAAAGAUCACCAAUCACAGAUCACCAUAAAAAUAUAAUCAUAAUAAAAAAGCUUAAUGUUGCAAGAAUUACCAAACUGUGACACAGACACAAAGUAAGCACAUGCUAUUGGAAAAAUGGUGCUGAUAGACUUGCUUGAUGCAGGGUUGCCACAAACCUUCAAUUUGUAAAAAACACAGAAUCUAUAAGGCAUAAUACAGGGAAGUGCAAUAAAACGAGAUGUGCCUGUAUAUGGAAUCUAAGACAAUCCCACUCACAGAAGCAGAGAGCAGAAUGGCCGUUCUACCAGGGGCUGUGGGGAGUGGGAAGGACUGGGAAGACAUUGGUCAAAGGACACCACAUAAUUAGAGAGGAAGAAUAAGUUCAAGAGGUCUCUUGAACAUUACGGUGACUACAGACUGCAGUUAAAAACAAUAUAUUAUAUACUUGAAAAUUGCUGAAGUAGAUUUUAAGUGUUCUCACUAUAAACAAUAAGUGUAUGAGGCCAUGCAUAUGUUAAGUGGCUUGAUUUAUCCAUUCCACAAUGUAUACAUAUAUCAAAAUUGCAUGCUAUAUACCAUAAAUACAUACAACUUUUACAUCUCAAUUUAAAAAAUAAAAAGAAAGUGAAAGUAGAAAGCAGAAAAUGUCUUGGUCACAUGUGAGGCCCUCUUGGUUUCAUCUUUGGUUGGAACCCAAAGAAUCUUGUUUUGGGACUUAUUCUUCGUGAGAUACCCUCAUAUUUACAAAAGCAGGGGAGUUACCCCACUAAUGGGAAUAAACCCACUGGAAGGACUCAAAUGAAAUUAAAUACUGACUUGGUUUUUUUUUUUUGAGAUAAAGUCUCGCUGUCACUCAGGCUGCAGUGCAGUGGUGUGACCUCAGUUCACUGCAACUUCUGCCUCCCGGGUUCAAGUGAUUCUCAUGCCUUAGCCUCAUGAGUAGCUGGGACUACAGGCAUGCACCACCACACCCAGCUGAUUUUUUUAUUUUUAGUGGAUACAGGGUUUCCCCAUGUUGGCCAGGCUGGUCUCGAACUCCUGGCCUCAAGUGAUCCACCUGUUUCAGCCUCCCAAAGUGCUGGGAUUACAGGCGUGAGCCACCGCGUCCAGCCUCCAAUAGUGGCCUGGUUCUGAGACUACUUGGAUAGUCCAGACGUAUUCUGACUUAACAAACUUAGUGUGAACAUACUUCACUAAGUGUUUUUCUGAAAAUUUCAGACAAAAAUCCAGCUCACUCUUGUUUAAGUGUCUUGAGGAACAGUAUGUGUUUAUCUUUUACAGAUGCAUAGUGUCUAGCACAGGGUCAGAUGUUAGUCGAAUAUACAUGUUCACUGAAAUGCCAGUUGGAAUUUAAUGUUCAGCAAGUUUACUGGCUCCAUACUUGCUUGGGUUUAUGACUGCAUCAAAUUCCUGCUCUCCGCACAGAAGGAGAAUGAGGAUUACACUCAGCUCAGAGGAGCAUGAAUAUCUUGGCUCAGCCAUCCCUAAUGGUCUUAGAGCCCAGGCUGAGGGGUAUCAUUGGUCUUUGCUUUCAUUUGUUGUCUCUUUAAAUUGUUCUAAUAUUUUCUUUUUGAGAUGGAGUCUUUGCUCUGUUGCCCAGGCUGGANNNNNNNNNNNNNNNNNNNNNNNNNNNNNNNNNNNNNCCUCACGGGUUCAAGCAAUCCUCCUGCCUCAGCCUCCCAAGUAGCUGGGAUUACAAGCAUGCACCACCACGCCUGGCUAAUUUUUAUAUAUUUUUUAGUAGAGACGGUGUUUCACCAUGUUGGCCAGGCUGGUCUC
rnacentral:lncRNA from 1 species